rnacentral:misc_RNA from 1 species
ACCGCGCGGCCACGCUCGACCACCAUCACGCGAUCCGCGAAAUUGAGCGCGCGCUCGAUCUGCUGCUCGACCAGAAUGAUCGUCAUAUCGCCGCUGGUGGCAAGGCGAGAGAUGGUUUCCAUCAACUGAUCGCAGAUCACCGGCCCCAGCCCUUCCAGUGGCUCAUCCAGCAGCAGGAUCGACGGUUUUCCGAGCAACGUCCGCGCCAUCGACAGCAUCUGCUGCUCGCCGCCGGACAAUUGCAGCCCGAGAUGCCGUC